rnacentral:rRNA from 1 species
ACGAGUGGUGCAAGCGUUAUUCGGAAUCAUUGGGCGUACAGGGCGUGUAGGUGGUAUGUUAAGUCUGUUGUUAAAGACUCUAGCCUAACUGGAGAAAGGCAGUGGAAACUGGUGUACUAGAGGGUGGAAGAGGGAAGUGGAAUUCUCGGUGUAGGGGUAAAAUGCGUAGAUAUCGGGAGGAACACCGAUGGCGAAGGCAGCUUCUUAGUACAUACCUGACGGUGAGGCGCGAAAGCGUGGGGAGCGAACAG